ACCCGCUGAACUUAAGCAUAUCAAUAAGCGGAGGAAAAGAAACUAACAAGGAUUCCCUCAGUAACGGCGAGUGAACAGGGAACAAGCUCAAAGUUGGAAUCUAUCUGGCUUAGCCAGAUCGAAUUGUAAACUUUAGAGUCGUUAUCCAGAUCAGCCGAGUAAAUAAGUUCCUUGGAAUAGGACAUCAUGGAGGGUGAGAAUCCCGUCUUUGGCUUGAGCAUUGAUCUUUUUGUGAUGCGGCUUCAACGAGUCAGGUUGUUUGGGAAUGCAGCCUUAAUUGGGUGGUAAAUCUCACCUAAAGCUAAAUAUUGGCGAGAGACCGAUAGCGAACAAGUACCGUGAGGGAAAGAUGAAAAGAACUUUGAAAAGAGAGCUAAACAGUAUGUGAAAUUGCUGAAAGGGAACCGUUUGAAGCCAGUCUGGCUGGUCUGCAAUCAGCUUCGGCUUUUGCUGGAGUGCACUUGUAGGCCGUUCGCCUGCCAACAACAGUUUAUACUGCAGCAAAAAGGUGCUGAGAAUGUGGCUUCUCCUCGGAGAAGUGUUAUAGCUCGGUACGAAAUACUGUGGUUUAGACUGAGGCUUGCAGUGAAUGCUUUUUGGCUUUGGAAGUGAGUCGCUCAGAUGUUAAUGAGUUAGUUUUCGGCCGUAAAAAAGUCGUGCUGGCUUAUUGAGGUUUGACCCGGCUUGCUUGCUUUUUAUUCACUUUGGUUGUUGGCGUAAUGGCUUUAAACGACCCGUCUUGAAACACGG
rnacentral:rRNA from 1 species